rnacentral:rRNA from 1 species
ACUCAAAUGAAUAGACGGGGGCCCGCACAAGCGGCGGAGCAUGUGGCUUAAUUCGACGCAACGCGAAGAACCUUACCUGGGCUUGACAUGCGGGGUAAAUCCGGUGAAAGCCGGAGCCCUUCGGGGCCCGCACAGGUGGUGCAUGGCUGUCGUCAGCUCGUGCCGUGAGGUGUUGCCUUAAGUGGCGCAACGAGCGCAACCCCUGUCCCUAGUUGCCAGCGGGUAAAGCCGGGAACUCUAGGGAGACUGCCGGUGCCAAACCGGAGGAAGGUGGGGAUGACGUCAAGUCAUCAUGCCCCUUAUGUCCAGGGCUGCACACAUGCUACAAUGCGAGGUACAGAGGGCUGCGAUCCCGCAAGGGGGAGCGAAUCCCAAAAAGCCUCGCUCAGUUCGGAUCGGGGUCUGCAACUCGACCCCGUGAAGUCGGAGUCGCUAGUAAUCGCAGAUCAGCAAUGCUGCGGUGAAUACGUUCCCGGGCCUUGUACACACCGCCCGU